UACGAAGGGGGCUAGCGUUGCUCGGAAUCACUGGGCGUAAAGCGCACGUAGGCGGAUCUUUAAGUCAGGGGUGAAAUCCCAAGGCUCAACCUUGGAACUGCCUUUGAUACUGGGGAUCUCGAGUCCGGAAGAGGGGAGUGGAACUGCGAGUGUAGAGGUGAAAUUCGUAGAUAUUCGCAAGAACACCAGUGGCGAAGGCGGCUCACUGGUCCGGUACUGACGCUGAGGUGCGAAAGCGUGGGGAGCAAACAGG
rnacentral:rRNA from 1 species